UACAGAGACUGCGAGCGUUAUUCGGAUUCACUGGGCGUAAAGGGUGCGCAGGCGGCCAAGUGUGUUAGGCGUGAAAGCCCGAGGCUUAACCUCGGAAUUGCACCUAAAACUACAUGGCUAGAGUACUGGAGAGGGUAACGGAAUUCACGGUGUAGCAGUGAAAUGCGUAGAUAUCGUGAGGAAGGCCAGUGGCGAAGGCGGAUCUCUGGACAGUUCCUGACGCUGAGGCACGUAGGUCAGGGGAGCAAACGGG
rnacentral:rRNA from 1 species